rnacentral:rRNA from 1 species
CCUACGGGAGGCAGCAGUGAGGAAUAUUGGUCAAUGGCCGUAAGGCUGAACCAGCCAAGUCGCGUGAGGGAAGACUGCCCUAUGGGUUGUAAACCUCUUUUAUGCGGGGAUAAAGGUGUCCACGUGUGGAUGUUUGCAGGUACCGCAUGAAUAAGGACCGGCUAAUUCCGUGCCAGCAGCCGCGGUAAUACGGAAGGUCCGGGCGUUAUCCGGAUUUAUUGGGUUUAAAGGGUGCGUAGGCCGGCCUUUAAGCGUGCGGUGAAAUUUUGUGGCUCAACCACGGGAGUGCGGCGCGAACUGGAGACCUUGAGAGCGCGGAAGGCAGGCGGAAUUCGUGGUGUAGCGGUGAAAUGCUUAGAGAUCACACAGAACUCCGAUUGCGAAGGCAGCAUACCGGCGCCCAACUGACGCUGAGGCACGAAAGCGUGGGUAUCGAACAGGAUUAGAUACCCGGGUAGUC